rnacentral:lncRNA from 1 species
UUAAACGGGCUAAACGGUGAGACCGGGCGAUUUUUGGGAAAAAUUAACACGAUUUUCUGGGUGUGCCCAGGUGUCGGGCGUGAAAUGGGCUGAAAAUUGACCUGGGGCUCCCAGGCAGGCUGGAAAGUGGAGGAAUGUGUGCCAUUUGGGAGGGCGGGGCUGUUUGGUUUGUCAAAUGGGAAAAAUGAUGCGACAGGGCCGUUUUCGGGUCAAAUCGGUAUGCUAUAGCCCACGGUUUUUUGGGUGUG